rnacentral:rRNA from 1 species
GCGCGUGCCUAACACAUGCAGUCGAGCGAUUCUCUUCGGAGAAGAGCGGCGGUCGGGUGAGUAACGCGUGGGUAACCUGCCUCAUACACAUGGAUAACAUACCGAAAGGUAUGCUAAUACAAGAUGAUAUAAGAGAUUCGCAUGGAUUUCUUAUCAAAGCUCCGGCGGUAUGAGAUGGACCCGCGUCUGAUUAGCUAGUUGGUAAGGUAACGGCUUACCAAGGCGACGAUCAGUAGCCGACCUGAGAGGGUGAUCGGCCACAUUGGAACUGAGACACGGUCCAAACUCCUACGGGAGGCAGCAGUGGGGAAUAUUGCACAAUGGGCGAAAGCCUGAUGCAGCAACGCCGCGUGAGCGAUGAAGGCCUUCGGGUCGUAAAGCUCUGUCCUCAAGGAAGAUAAUGACGGUACUUGAGGAGGAAGCCCCGGCUAACUACGUGCCAGCAGCCGCGGUAAUACGUAGGGGGCUAGCGUUAUCCGGAUUUACUGGGCGUAAAGGGUGCGUAGGUGGUUUCUUAAGUCAGGAGUGAAAGGCUACGGCUUAACCGUAGUAAGCUCUUGAAACUGGGAAACUUGAGUGCAGGAGAGGAAAGUGGAAUUCCUAGUGUAGCGGUGAAAUGCGUAGAUAUUAGGAGGAACACCAGUAGCGAAGGCGGCUUUCUGGACUGUAACUGACACUGAGGCACGAAAGCGUGGGGGAGCAAACAGGAUUAGAUACCCUGGUAGUCCACGCCGUAAACGAUGAGUACUAGGUGUCGGGGGGUUACCCCCCCUCGGUGGCCGCAGCUAACGCAUUAAGUACUCCGCCUGG